rnacentral:rRNA from 1 species
CACGUAGGGGGCAAGCGUUGCUCGGAAUUACUGGGCGUAAAGUGUGCGCAGGUGGCUUCGCAAGUCGAGUGUGAAAUCCCCGGGCUUAACCUGGGAAUUGCGCUCGAAACUACGGAGCUGGAGUAUGGCAGAGGGAGGUGGAAUUCCACGUGUAGCGGUGAAAUGCGUAGAGAUGUGGAGGAACACCAAUGGCGAAGGCAGCCUCCUGGGCCAAUACUGACACUCAUGCACGAAAGCGUGGGGAGCAAACAGG